AAAACAUGACCUUUUCUGUGCUCGCUUUGAAACGACACAGAGAAGAUUAGCAUGGCCCCAGUGCAAGGAUGAUGCACAAAUUUGUGAAAUGUUUCAUACUUUU
ensembl:snRNA U6 U6 spliceosomal RNA